rnacentral:lncRNA from 1 species
AAAGAUACUAAAGUUCAUAUUUUACCGUUUGAAGUUUGAUGCAGAAAUAGUUCGAUGAUCCAAAGCCAGACAAUAUUACCAUGAGCAUAACAUGGGAGGUUCUAUAGUCUUCUUAAACCAAGCAACCUUAGAUCCACUAAUAAAAAGCCCCACCGAUUCUUGAUGGGGAGAAUAUAAAGUGGCGUGAUCAACCAAUGAAUAAUGUUAUCAUUCCGAAGCCUUCCAUUCCAUAUCCUAUCAAGGAAUUUGAAAUAAUCCAUUUUCUGU